rnacentral:rRNA from 1 species
UACGUAGGUGGCAAGCGUUGUCCGGAUUUACUGGGCGUAAAGAGCGCGCAGGCGGUCGUUCAAGUCGCGUGUGAAAGCCCCCGGCUCAACUGGGGAGGGUCACGCGAUACUGAUCGACUCGAAGGCAGGAGAGGGUAGCGGAAUUCAUGGUGUAGCAGAGAAAUGCGUAGAUAUCAUGAGGAACACCAGAGGCGAAGGCGGCUACCUGGACAAUUGCUGACGCUCAGGCACGAAAGCGUGGGGAGCAAAAGGG